ACGGAAGGCAGCAGUGAGGAAUAUUGGUCAAUGGACGAGAGUCUGAACCAGCCAAGUAGCGUGCAGGAUGACGGCCCUAUGGGUUGUAAACUGCUUUUGUACGGGAAUAAAGUGACCUACGUGCGGUUUUGUAUGUACCGUUCGAAUAAGCAUCGGCUAAUUCCGUGCCAGCAGCCGCGGUAAUACGGAAGAUGCGAGCGUUAUCCGGAUUUAUUGGGUUUAAAGGGAGCGUAGGCGGUAUGUUAAGUCUGCGGUAAAAUGUCAGGGCCCAACCUUGGCUUGCCGUGGAUACUGGCGUACUUGAAUGUGCACAAGGAAGGUGGAAUUCGUCGUGUAGCGGUGAGAUGCUUAGAUAUGACGAAGAACUCCGAUUGCGAAGGCAGCCUUCUGGGGCAUGAUUGACGCUGAGGCUCGAAAGUGCGGGAAUCAAACAGGAUUAGAUACCCUGGUA
rnacentral:rRNA from 1 species